rnacentral:lncRNA from 1 species
AAAAAGUAAAGUAUACAUUUAAUUAUUAUUUAAUACUUACUCAAUGUUAGUUUGUAGUAUUCAUGUUCACUAUAAUCUUUGUGAGGUUUUACAUUGUAAAUUAAUAAUCAUGACCUGUUCUACACCAAUGUGCCAAAGGAUAUGAAUGUUAGUGUGAUAUUUAACAUGUUUUGCCUGUUAUAAGUCUGCACAAGUAUGCAAUCAACAUGUUUGUGUCAGUUGAUUCACAUUGAUUUCGGAAUGUGUGCAGACCCCCAGUUUUUGACUGUUAUACAUCUAGUCCUUAAAUUUGUAUAAACUUGUAUACAAUAUCGAUAUUAACUUGUUAUUAUAUUUUCUUUUAACAGAACACAUUAAACUAAUUAAUUGCACUUUUGCCUUUCUGUUUCAUAGUUAACUCAAUCUACACAUCUAUUUCGUAUAUCUGUAUGUUUGUUAUUGAAUACCAAUAGAAACUAUUCAAUAAUAGUAAAACAUGUACAUUCAUACAUUUACACAUUGAAUACAUUUUCACCUUGACAAUUUUUACUAGAAUAUGAUACAUGUCAUUAAUUACCCAGUUAACCCAUAUUUAUUAGAAAUUCACCGAAUAGGGAUUAUCAACCUGAUGAUAAGUUUUAAGCCAGUAUUUUUGUCUUUAUGUCAUCUCUCAGCAUUUGAAGAUUUGUAAUUUGGUCGAAUUCUAUAUUAAUGGCCUAUAA